GAUGAACGCUGGCGGCGUGCCUAAUACAUGCAAGUCGAGCGAACAGACGAGGAGCUUGCUCCUCUGACGUUAGCGGCGGACGGGUGAGUAACACGUGGAUAACCUACCUAUAAGACUGGGAUAACUUCGGGAAACCGGAGCUAAUACCGGAUAACAUGUUGAACCGCAUGGUUCAACAGUGAAAGACGGUCUUGCUGUCACUUAUAGAUGGAUCCGCGCCGCAUUAGCUAGUUGGUAAGGUAACGGCUUACCAAGGCAACGAUGCGUAGCCGACCUGAGAGGGUGAUCGGCCACACUGGAACUGAGACACGGUCCAGACUCCUACGGGAGGCAGCAGUAGGGAAUCUUCCGCAAUGGGCGAAAGCCUGACGGAGCAACGCCGCGUGAGUGACGAAGGUCUUCGGAUCGUAAAACUCUGUUAUUAGGGAAGAACAAAUGUGUAAGUAACUAUGCACGUCUUGACGGUACCUAAUCAGAAAGCCACGGCUAACUACGUG
rnacentral:rRNA from 1 species